GAUUGAUUGCUCUUGGAUGUUGUGACCAAAAUGAGUGUUGGAAAUGAAGCAAUUUAAAAUUUGUCUCAAAAGCCAAUUACUUGAGAAUCUUAAAGCCAAAUCAGAAGAAGAAAUUAUGGGCUGUGAGUGAUGGUCUUGGGUUAAUUAUUUGGUAGCUAUGAUUUUCUCUACUACUCCUGUGGCCUCACCUUCCUUCUAGCCACUCCUCUUUCAAAGUUACUGCGCACUGUUGUUACUGGAAACUGACCUUGUGCGGGCAGGUGGAGAUGACUAAGAGAAGGUGUCUCCUGUGGGAGCCCAGACUUGUAAGUGGAGAGAAAAGUCCACACAGGCUCAUCCAUCAACUUGCUAUGUGAUUUGGACAUUUUCAAUCACCACUUUCCAUUUGCCAGUAGUAUUUUUUAAAUGGCUUCAAUUAAUGAGGAAGCAGUAGUGGAAUUAAAUGUAAGUCACUCAGAAUUAUAGAAUUAAUGGCAUCCUGUAUUAUGAUGGUUCCUAGAAGAGAUCAGCUUCCCAGCUGACCCACUGAAGUCAGUCAGCUUUGCAAAGCUAGCACAAAAAUGAUCUUGUGUCAAUGUAUGGACAUGAUAGGACAUUUAGUUAUAUAAAAAAAUAUAUGACUCGCUCCCAAAUCCUAUUGACAGAGCAUUGAGCUUGGCAAGAAGGGACCCCGAGCAACAAACACCUGAUGCCUUCAGUCAUCGUGAUGCCAUUUCAGUCAUCGUGAAGGAUUCUGUGUUCUAGCUAAGAAGCCAUCAGUCAGUGGCUCACAGGCUGUGAUUUUAAUGCUCCUGAGGAGGAGGAAAUCUUCCUCCUUGUGGGUCCAAUAAGUGAAGUCCUGGAAAGAUGACCUGAGCCCACGUGAUUGAAGAAGUUGGUAGAGAAAUGAUGAUUUAGUGUAAGGGAACGAAACAACUGUCAGCAUGUUAGCGGAACAGCAUAUGGGAGGAAUCCACCCUAAAAGGGGUUGGCUUGCUCAUCCCUUCCUUAAGCAUUUAUGGAGCGCCUGCCAAGUGCCAGCAACACCCAAGUGUAGCCACAGCAUCUGUCCUCCUGCAUUCCAUAGCCCAGAAGAGGAACCAAUGCCAAAGAAGAUGAGUGGGACACAAUCCACUGUGUAUAGGGUACAGCAAGAACCCAACAGAUCUGUACACAGCAGCUUACACUAUUGAGACAGCUGCUUGGAUCAUGAGCCACACUACAACCGGCCCAAAAGACCAAUACUUCAGGAACAUGCCACUUUGUGUGCCUUAAGAUGACUUCAGCAUGUGCAGACUCCACAGAUGGGGACGGGGAGGGGAGGGCACGGGCUUACGGCUGUAUGUCAAGAUGAGCACUGAGUGAUCACAGGAGUCAGAUGGGAAAACAGGGCCUCAGAGGACACCAUCUCUGACCACGAGGGCUCUAUUAUCUACGUCCCCCAAUUGAUGUGCUAAAGCCCAAACCCCUGUGCCUCAAUGGGACUGAACUGGGAGAAAAGGCUGUAAAGUGGUAAUAUAGGUAAAAUGAAGUCAUAUUGUGGAAACUAAUCAAAGGUGACUGUCAUUCUCCUUUCUUCUGCUUUUGGUA